CCUUGUUUCCACAGGUCUCCAAUACUGUGGUGUUAUCGCAGCUUAUCGGGCUUUUUCGUCCCAUAUCGUUGGCAGCAGUUUGCGGGUCAGUUUGGUGCCGGGUUCGAUGGGGUGGGUCUUUAUUAACAGGCCCGAAGUGUUUGUUUGCUGUGGAGCUCUUGUGGCGUGCAGCCAUUCAGGUUGGUUGCUUGGCUCCGCCCCCGACAAAUUUUUUUUAAAGAGGAUUAGCACCUGUACACUCGAGAAAAUGGAAGAGGUGGAUAGGGGUUCAGGUGGUCAC